UAUAUAUAUAUGUAGUGGACGUGAAUGGAAGAAACCAGAUGAUGAAAAACAAUUGUGGUUUAUUCUUACCCUAAGAGAAAAACUUGUGGUUUCCUUCCUACCCAAAAGGAAGUUUUAUCUAUUUAAAUCUAUUGUUUAUGUCUUUGUUCUGACUGGGAACGCAUCACCCUCUUAGCCUCCAAAGCUUUAACCUUAUCAAUUAGUGGGCCAAACCUAAUUCCCAUUUUCUCAGCCUCAAAAUUUCUUAUAAAUCUUGGUUGCCAUCCAUUUUUUUCUUGACAUAGUAUCGAUUUUGGAUAAAAAAUAUUUGGCAGAAUCUACUAUAAAUUUUGAGUUCUUCUUCAAGUUGUCUUCAAGGGUUUGAAGGAGGCAAUUUUUCGAGUGAAGGAUGUAGAGAGGACACAUGAGGAAGAAUUGGUGGAAAGGCAGCGAUUGGACCAUCAGAUGCCUAUCUUGGCGUCCGUUUCAGUUGGUUGGUCCAAUGGAAUUAUGGAUUCGAGAUGCCAAGGCUAUGAAGAUUUCAGUGCCGAUAAGUUCAAGUAGCAAUGAUCUGUUUAUCUUCUAUUGUACGUUUUCAAUAUUUGUGGAAUAUGUGGUAAUGAGUAUUGGAUAGCAAUCAACACUAUUAUAGUGAGAAAGAACUAAGUAUAACCGAAAUUCUUGUUCAUUCUAAUAUCACAUGUAAUCAUAAUCUAAAUUCUUGUUCAUUCUUAUAUUUAUCGAAUCGUGUGUUACUAUGUUCAUACACAUGCAGUUAUUGUAUUUGUUAAUCAUACUUUUUGGAUGCAUAUAGUCAAAUGCUAAACCCUUAAGAAUGGGGGAAAUGACAUUUUAUGAACCGUUUACGAGCUAAGUGUUUGUGAUAUUCUACAAUUCCCAACUCCCUCGUGAAUAGCUUCUAGAUCAUAAGUUCUUCUAUUAAGUUCUAUACUAAGCUACAUGGAACUUGUCUUUCAUCAUUGUCAACAUGGUAUGCUUUGUGACAAUUUAACUUUAUAAAUUUUGGUAUAAUUUUAAUUUCUUCCAUCUCUUGCUUCUACAAGCAUAGAUUGAAAAUGACAAAGGUAUGAAAUCUAUAUUCUUGAAAUGUAGGCAGUCUAUUUAAAUAUUUCCUUUACUAUAUAUAAUAUUAUUCUUCACUUCAUUAAUUUUGUAUACUUCAAGGAUCAAAGGGGAUUGUUAUCUUGUGUAUGCUUCAUAGCUUAACUUUUGUGUUCUUCACAAUAUUUCUCAGGUCAUAGAUGAGAUGACUAAUGGAGGAGCAGACUACUAUUUUGAAUGUGUUGGAAUGGCUUCUUUGGUCGAGGACUCAUAUGCUUGCUGCCGAAAGGUUAUCAGGUCAUAAGUAUGGUCACCUCCUAUGCUAGAAUCAUACCGUCAUUUUCUUUUCUUCAAGUUUCGGGUUGAGGGAAGACUUUUUUUGCUAGGGGUAGACAAACCUAGAGCAAAGUUGAAAUUCAGUUCAUUUGAAGUUCUUGAUUCCGGGAAAACAUUAACAAGAUUAGCUAUAUGUCUAAUUCUUGAGGACGAAGAGUUAUGUUUCUUUACGUCCAUAAUAAUAAUAGAUAAAUAGCAUGUUUCCUACUCUUAAAUUUAGAUGAAUAUUUUUUAAGAGUUAUGUUUAAAGCAUGUUUGCUAUAAAGAGUGAAUAUUUUUUAUUUGUGUUUU